CCUACGGGUGGCAGCAGUGGGGAAUAUUGCACAAUGGGGGAAACCCUGAUGCAGCGACGCCGCGUGAGUGAAGAAGUAAUUCGUUAUGUAAAGCCUUAUCAGCAGGGAAGAAAAUGACGCUACCUGAGUAAGAAGCCCCGUCUAACUACGUGCCAGCAGCCGUGGUAAUACGCAGGGGGCAAGCGUUAUCCGGAUUUACUGGGUGUAAAGGGGGCGUAGACGGGAGUGCAAGUCUGGAGUGAAAGGCGGGGGCUCAACCCCCGGACUGCUCUGGAAACUGUACGGCUGGAGUGCAGGAGAGGUAAGUGGAAUUCCUAGUGUAGCGGUGAAAUGCGUAGAUAUUAGGAAGAACACCGGUGGCGAAGGCGGCUUACUGGACUGUAACUGACGUUGAGGCUCGAAAGCGUGGGGAGCGAACAGGAUUAGAUACCCCUGUAGUC
rnacentral:rRNA from 1 species